rnacentral:rRNA from 1 species
ACCCUUUAAUGUUUGAUGUUCUAACGUGGACCCGUUACCCGGGUUGCGGACAGUGUCUGGUGGGUAGUUUGACUGGGGCGGUCUCCUCCUAAAGAGUAACGGAGGAGCACGAAGGUUGGCUAAUCCUGGUCGGACAUCAGGAGGUUAGUGCAAUGGCAUAAGCCAGCUUGACUGCGAGCGUGACGGCGCGAGCAGGUGCGAAAGCAGGUCAUAGUGAUCCGGUGGUUCUGAAUGGAAGGGCCAUCGCUCAACGGAUAAAAGGUACUCCGGGGAUAACAGGCUGAUACCGCCCAAGAGUUCAUAUCGACGGCGGUGUUUGGCACCUCGAUGUCGGCUCAUCACAUCCUGGGGCUGAAGUAGGUCCCAAGGGUAUGGCUGUUCGCCAUUUAAAGUGGUACGCGAGCUGGGUUUAGAACGUCGUGAGACAGUUCGGUCCCUAUCUGCCGUGGGCGCUGGAGAACUGAGGGGGGCUGCUCCUAGUACGAGAGGACCGGAGUGGACGCAUCACUGGUGUUCGGGUUGUCAUGCCAAUGGCACUGCCCGGUAGCUAAAUGCGGAAGAGAUAAGUGCUGAAAGCAUCUAAGCACGAAACUUGCCCCGAGAUGAGUUCUCCCUGAGACUUAGAGUCUCCUGAAGGAACGUUGAAGACGACGACGUUGAUAGGCCGGGUGUGUAAGCGCAGCGAUGCGUUGAGCUAACCGGUACUAAUGAACCGUGAGG